rnacentral:ribozyme from 13 species
AAGAAGAGAGACGAGAAGAACGGCGACGCGAACCUGAUUCUUCUUCAAGAAUCUUUUUUUCUUCUGCUAUUCUUUCUUCUGUUCUUGUCCUUGCUAAUCUUUUUUCUUUUCCAAAAA